rnacentral:lncRNA from 1 species
AAGUUCAGCAGAUAAAGGGCAUGAUUGCAUAAGAUGAUCUCUGGUCUCUCCGUAAUUAUGGCAUAGUAUGCACUCCUGAUCAACAUUCAUUCCCCAUCUUGCCAGUCCGUCUUCAGUUGGUAGUCUAUCUUGUAGAGCCAGCCACAAAUUGAAGACUGUUUUUGGUCUUGCCUGAUUGUUGAUGACCAUAUUUUUCCAUGGAACUCUCGGCAGAUCCCCUAGCUGCAAGUGGUAUAACUGUCUAAUGGAACAAAUCUGACUCCUCCAGUGUUGGAAAGCCUGCAGUAUAUCUCUUGAGGCUAUAAUUUUUCGGACCAUCCAGCUAGCUUGUGUAGGAAUUGGCAUGUCCUCUAUCAGCUUAUCUUUUAUGUAAUAAGCAGUAAUCCACAGAUCACCUAGCUGCAAGUGAUAUAACUGUCUACUAGAACAAAUCUGUGCAAGUGAUAUAACUGUCUAAUAGAACAAAUCUGACUCCUCCAGUGUUGGAAAGUCUGCAGUAUAUCUCUUGAGGCUAUAAUUUUCCGGACCAUCC